rfam:Gossypium hirsutum cultivar TM-1 chromosome 1, whole genome shotgun sequence
AAUCCGUGGUGAGAGCAUUAUUGAAUCAACAUUUUGAAUCGUUCCCAUGCCUCAUAGAAACUUUCUCCCCCCAUUUGUCUAAAAACAACAAUUUCUCUUCUUAGUUG